GACGUAGGAGGCGAGCGUUGUCCGGAUUCAUUGGGCGUAAAGAGCACGCAGGCGGUUUGGCAAGUCGGAUGUGAAAACCCGGAGCUCAACUCCGGACCUGCAUCCGAAACUGCCCGACUAGAGGUAGGUAGGGGAGAUCGGAAUUCCUGGUGUAGCGGUGGAAUGCGCAGAUAUCAGGAGGAACACCGAUGGCGAAGGCAGGUCUCUGGGCCACUACUGACGCUGAGAAGCGAAAGCAUGGGGAGCGAACAGG
rnacentral:rRNA from 1 species